rnacentral:rRNA from 1 species
UACGUAGGGGGCUAGCGUUAUCCGGAUUUAUUGGGUUUAAAGGGUGCGCAGGCGGCACGGCAAGCCGGCGGUCAAAUCGCGGGGCUCAACCCCGCCCAGCCGUCGGAACUGCCGGGCUAGAGUGGGCGAGAAGUGCGCGGAAUGCGUGGUGUAGCGGUGAAAUGCAUAGAUAUCACGCAGAACUCCGAUUGCGAAGGCAGCGCACCGGCGCCCUACUGACGCUCAGGCACGAAAGCGUGGGUAUCGAACAGG